UACGUAGGGUGCAGGCGUUAAUCGGAAUUACUGGGCGUAAAGCGUGCGCAGGCGGUCUUUUAAGUCAGAUGUGAAAUCCCCGGGCUUAACCUGGGAACUGCGUUUGAAACUGGAAGGCUAGAGUGUGGCAGAGGGGGGUGGAAUUCCACGUGUAGCAGUGAAAUGCGUAGAUAUGUGGAGGAACACCGAUGGCGAAGGCAGCCCCCUGGGCUAACACUGACGCUCAUGCACGAAAGCGUGGGGAGCAAACAGGAUUAGAACCCCUGUAGUCC
rnacentral:rRNA from 1 species